rnacentral:tRNA from 1 species
GUCCCUGUAGCAUAAUGGAUAAUGCGUUGGAAUUCUAAUCCAAAGGUCGUGGGUUCGAAUCCUACCUGGGGUG